rnacentral:rRNA from 1 species
UGGGGAAUAUUGCACAAUGGGCGCAAGCCUGAUGCAGCCAUGCCGCGUGUAUGAAGAAGGCCUUCGGGUUGUAAAGUACUUUCAGUCGGGAGGAAGGUGGUAAGGUUAAUAACCUUAUCAAUUGACGUUACCGACAGAAGAAGCACCGGCUAACUCCGUGCCAGCAGCCGCGGUAAUACGGAGGGUGCAAGCGUUAAUCGGAAUUACUGGGCGUAAAGCGCACGCAGGCGGUUGAUUGAGUCAGAUGUGAAAUCCCCGGGCUUAACCCAGGAAUUGCAUCUGAUACUGGUCAGCUAGAGUCUUGUAGAGGGGGGUAGAAUUCCAUGUGUAGCGAUGAAAUGCGUAGAGAUGUGGAGGAAUACCGGUGGCGAAGGCGGCCCCCUGGACAAAGACUGACGCUCAGGUGCGAAAGCGUGGGGAGCAAACAGG